UGUCCAGUAAUGCUUGAGUGAAUG
rnacentral:piRNA from 1 species